CACUUCUAAGGAAGGCAGCAGGCGCGCAAAUUACCCAAUCCUGACUCAGGGAGGUAGUGACAAGAAAUAACAAUAAACCGGCUUAUGCCGGUUUAAUUGGAAUGAGUACAAUUUAAACAUCUUAACGAGGAACAAUUGGAGGGCAAGUCUGGUGCCAGCAGCCGCGGUAAUUCCAGCUCCAAUAGCGUAUACUAAAGUUGUUGCAGUUAAAAAGCUCGUAGUUGGAUUUCUGUGGGGACGGAGCGGCCGGCCGCAACACGCGGUUCGAGCUAGCGCUUUCCCUACAUCCUGCCGCGAACCGUGCUACCAUUAAUUUGGUGGCGCCGGGGAUCGGCUCGAUUACUUUGAGAAAAAUAGAGUGUUCAAAGCAGGCCACAUGCCUUGAAUAAGUUAGCAUGGAAUAAUAACUAAGGACUUCGGUUCUAUUUUGUUGGUGUUCGGGACUGAAGUAAUGAUUGAUAGGGACAGUUGGGGCGGUCUGUAUUCCAAAGCGAGAGGUGAAAUUCUUAGACCUUCGGAAGACAAACAGCUGCGAAAGCGUUCCGCAAGGAUGUUCCCUUUGAUCAAGAACGAAAGUUGGGGGAUCGAAGACGAUCAGAUACCGUCGUAGUCUCAACUAUAAACUAUACCAGCUAGGGAUCGGCCAACGUUAUUUUAUACCGACUUGGUCGGCACCUUAUGAGAAAUCAAAGCAUCUGGGUUCCGGGGGGAGUAUGGUCGCAAGGCUGAAACUUAAAGGAAUUGACGGAAGGGCACCACCAGCCGUGGAGCCUGUGGCUUAAUUUGACUCAACACGGGAAAACUUACCAGGUCCAGACAUAGUAAGGAUUGACAGAUUGAUAGCUCUUUCUUGAUUCUGUGGGUGGUGGUGCAUGGCCGUUCUUAGUUGGUGGAGUGAUUUGUCUGGUUAAUUCCGUUAACGAACGAGACCCCAGCCUGCUAAAUAGCGCGUGUGAGCUUUGCUCGCAGCGAGCUUCUUAGAGGGACUAUGAUGCGCGAUAGCACAUGGAAGUUUGGGGCAAUAACAGGUCUGUGAUGCCCUUAGAUGUUCUGGGCCGCACACGGGCUACACUGGCGCCUGCAACGAGCAUAUCAGCUGGCCCGAGAGGGUCUUGGCUAAUCUUUUGAACCGGCGCCGUGCUUGGGAUUGACCUUUGCAAUUGUUGGUCAUGCAACGAGGAAUGCCUUGUAAACGCGAGUCAUCAGCUCGCAUUGAAUACGUCCCUGCCCUUUGUACACACCGCCCGUCGCUCCUACCGAUGAAUGUUCCGAUGAAAUUUUCGGAGAGUGCCUGUGAACUUGGCUCUGCCUUGCGAACGGGAAGCUCAAAGUCACUUAAAUCUGAACAUUUCG
rnacentral:rRNA from 1 species